rnacentral:lncRNA from 1 species
UUCCCUCCACAGUGAUGGCCAAAUGCUACUCCGAUUGGCCCCCGAUUCCGCCUCUGCAUCCAUCGCGGAGAACGCCGCCGCAAUCCCACGCCUCCCCGUGUGCGAUCAGGCGGCAGGUCGCGUCCUUCGUGCUCCACUGCUCUAGGUCCUGCGCCUCCCCUCUCCUCGAGCCCACCAAGAACCUGCCCGAUGAGUUCCCGGCCGUGCCGGCGGCGGCGCCGGUGUCGCCGCCGCUGCCGGACGCCGCCC